CUUUUUCAUUUUCCAAAUAAAGCCAUCGAGAACAUAAGAGGAUAUGACAAGUAUAGAUCAAAUUAUAAGAAGCCAAAAAUUUGUAAAACGUAUCAGCCACAUGCAAUAAAACACUAACACCUCUAUGACUAUCAGUAUGAAGAUGUCAGUAUUAAUAGAAAGUUGCCAAAUAAUUCUGCAAGUCAAAUGAAUGUGCAGUGAAG
rnacentral:misc_RNA from 1 species